UCCAAAGCGCAAGUAGAACACACACACACACGCACAAGCACACGCACACACCACACACCACACACCACACACACACACUUUGACUUUUCUUUUUAUGUUUGGACGAUGAACGUAGGAAAUAGAUUUCAUCGGAUCCUGUUCAUGAGGGCAAAGGAGACAAACGUCAGCUUCAGGAGCAGCAGAGACUCAGAUACUGACUUCAUGUUGGAGUCGUACGAGCCGAAGAUUCCGGAGGCGAGAGCUGGAGCUUCGAAUCCGUUCAUCCUGCUUCACCACGUCAGCUGGAACCAGAAGAACACAUCAGACCUUCUGCUCUCACAGGGACUCCAGACCUCACACACUCAUUAAAUCCAUUAGGUUUCUUCAGAUUUCCUGAAAAAAGAUUUUAAAAAGUCAAUAGAUUUUAUUCAUACAUUGAUUCAUUAUGACCCAGGAUAGAAUUCAGGAGGAAGCAGCUGGUCACAGUUUGGAGACACCGUGAAGAACAUGAGGAAACUUCAUGAACCAACCAUCAGAGUUUCAUCUUCUGCUCGUUAAGGAAUCAUCAAAACCUCUCGACUCAUUGAACAGAGAGGCUCUCGCUCGCUCCUGAAUCCACAGCGAGCGCUCGUGAUUACUUUCCCACGACUCCAUCUUGGACUCUGCAUCCAUGACAACAGCCUGUGAGGCAAAGUUCAGGGAGAAGACAAACCAGGACGUCUCCGCUGUGAGGACAGACGGACUCCUGUGAGACAGACUCUGGUUUCUGUCCCUGUGUCCAAGACCACGUCUCUAAAAAUAAAUCCUUAGGAUGUUUGUUGCGUUCAAAGAUAAAAGAGGAAACUCUUAAAUCUAUUGACUCUUCCACUGACCUUUCACAAUAAAAGAGGGUGUGAGCGUC